rnacentral:rRNA from 1 species
GGUCAAGUGAAGAAGCGCAUACGGUGGAUGCCUUGGCAGUCAGAGGCGAUGAAAGACGUGGUAGCCUGCGAAAAGCUUCGGGGAGUCGGCAAACAGACUUUGAUCCGGAGAUCUCUGAAUGGGGGAACCCACCUAGGAUAACCUAGGUAUCUUGUACUGAAUCCAUAGGUGCAAGAGGCGAACCAGGGGAACUGAAACAUCUAAGUACCCUGAGGAAAAGAAAUCAACCGAGAUUCCCUUAGUAGUGGCGAGCGAACGGGGAUUAGCCCUUAAGCUUCAUUGAUUUUAGCGGAACGCUCUGGAAAGUGCGGCCAUAGUGGGUGAUAGCCCCGUACGCGAAAGGAUCUUUGAAGUGAAAUCGAGUAGGACGGAGCACGAGAAACUUUGUCUGAACAUGGGGGGACCAUCCUCCAAGGCUAAAUACUACUGACUGACCGAUAGUGAACCAGUACCGUGAGGGAAAGGCGAAAAGAACCCCGGAGAGGGGAGUGAAAUAGAACCUGAAACCGUAUGCGUACAAGCAGUGGGAGCCUACUUGUUAGGUGACUGCGUACCUUUUGUAUAAUGGGUCAGCGACUUAUAUUCAGUGGCAAGCUUAACCGUAUAGGGUAGGCGUAGCGAAAGCGAGUCUUAAUAGGGCGUUUAGUCGCUGGGUAUAGACCCGAAACCGGGCGAUCUAUCCAUGAGCAGGUUGAAGGUUAGGUAACACUGACUGGAGGACCGAACCCACUCCCGUUGAAAAGGUAGGGGAUGACUUGUGGAUCGGAGUGAAAGGCUAAUCAAGCUCGGAGAUAGCUGGUUCUCCUCGAAAGCUAUUUAGGUAGCGCCUCAUGUAUCACUCUGGGGGGUAGAGCACUGUUUCGGCUAGGGGGUCAUCCCGACUUACCAAACCGAUGCAAACUCCGAAUACCCAGAAGUGCCGAGCAUGGGAGACACACGGCGGGUGCUAACGUCCGUCGUGAAAAGGGAAACAACCCAGACCGCCAGCUAAGGUCCCAAAGUUGUGGUUAAGUGGUAAACGAUGUGGGAAGGCUUAGACAGCUAGGAGGUUGGCUUAGAAGCAGCCAUCCUUUAAAGAAAGCGUAAUAGCUCACUAGUCGAGUCGGCCUGCGCGGAAGAUGUAACGGGGCUCAAACCACACACCGAAGCUGCGGGUGUCACGUAAGUGACGCGGUAGAGGAGCGUUCUGUAAGCCUGUGAAGGUGAGUUGAGAAGCUUGCUGGAGGUAUCAGAAGUGCGAAUGCUGACAUGAGUAACGACAAUGGGUGUGAAAAACACCCACGCCGAAAGACCAAGGGUUCCUGCGCAACGUUAAUCGACGCAGGGUUAGUCGGUUCCUAAGGCGAGGCUGAAAAGCGUAGUCGAUGGGAAACAGGUUAAUAUUCCUGUACUUCUGGUUACUGCGAUGGAGGGACGGAGAAGGCUAGGCCAGCUUGGCGUUGGUUGUCCAAGUUUAAGGUGGUAGGCUGAAAUCUUAGGUAAAUCCGGGGUUUCAAGGCCGAGAGCUGAUGACGAGUCGUCUUUUAGAUGACGAAGUGGUUGAUGCCAUGCUUCCAAGAAAAGCUUCUAAGCUUCAGGUAACCAGGAACCGUACCCCAAACCGACACAGGUGGUCGGGUAGAGAAUACCAAGGCGCUUGAGAGAACUCGGGUGAAGGAACUAGGCAAAAUGGCACCGUAACUUCGGGAGAAGGUGCGCCGGCUAGGGUGAAGGAUUUACUCCGUAAGCUCUGGCUGGUCGAAGAUACCAGGCCGCUGCGACUGUUUAUUAAAAACACAGCACUCUGCAAACACGAAAGUGGACGUAUAGGUGUGACGCCUGCCCGGUGCCGGAAGGUUAAUUGAUGGGGUUAGCGCAAGCGAAGCUCUUGAUCGAAGCCCCGGUAAACGGCGGCCGUAACUAUAACGGUCCUAAGGUAGCGAAAUUCCUUGUCGGGUAAGUUCCGACCUGCACGAAUGGCGUAACGAUGGCGGCGCUGUCUCCACCCGAGACUCAGUGAAAUUGAAAUCGCUGUGAAGAUGCAGUGUAUCCGCGGCUAGACGGAAAGACCCCGUGAACCUUUACUGUAGCUUUGCACUGGACUUUGAGCCUGCUUGUGUAGGAUAGGUGGGAGGCUUUGAAGCGUGGACGCCAGUUCGCGUGGAGCCAUCCUUGAAAUACCACCCUGGCAUGCUUGAGGUUCUAACUCUGGUCCGUGAUCCGGAUCGAGGACAGUGUAUGGUGGGCAGUUUGACUGGGGCGGUCUCCUCCUAAAGAGUAACGGAGGAGUACGAAGGUGCGCUCAGACCGGUCGGAAAUCGGUCGCAGAGUAUAAAGGCAAAAGCGCGCUUGACUGCGAGACAGACACGUCGAGCAGGUACGAAAGUAGGUCUUAGUGAUCCGGUGGUUCUGUAUGGAAGGGCCAUCGCUCAACGGAUAAAAGGUACUCCGGGGAUAACAGGCUGAUACCGCCCAAGAGUUCAUAUCGACGGCGGUGUUUGGCACCUCGAUGUCGGCUCAUCACAUCCUGGGGCUGAAGCCGGUCCCAAGGGUAUGGCUGUUCGCCAUUUAAAGUGGUACGCGAGCUGGGUUUAGAACGUCGUGAGACAGUUCGGUCCCUAUCUGCCGUGGACGUUUGAGAUUUGAGAGGGGCUGCUCCUAGUACGAGAGGACCGGAGUGGACGAACCUCUGGUGUUCCGGUUGUCACGCCAGUGGCAUUGCCGGGUAGCUAUGUUCGGAAAAGAUAACCGCUGAAAGCAUCUAAGCGGGAAACUUGCCUCAAGAUGAGAUCUCACUGGGAACUUGAUUCCCCUGAAGGGCCGUCGAAGACUACGACGUUGAUAGGCUGGGUGUGUAAGCGUUGUGAGGCGUUGAGCUAACCAGUACUAAUUGCCCGUGAGGCUUGACCAU